UUUUUUUUUUUUUUUAAUUUUUAAUUUUUAAUUUUGCUUAUAACAUACUUUGAGCUGAGAAAAUAAAGUUUGUGAGGGUGAGUGGAAGCCACAUAAUCUGACUUCUUUUGGAGUUAUUACAUCUUGUUUCCAUCUCUCUCUCUAAUCAUUCUCAUCUAUUGAUUUCAGUUCUAUCACAUGCCUACUGCCCUUUUUACAAAGUUAACUUUGGACUUUGCUAACAAAUUUUCUCUGAGAUGGAUUCUAUUUCACUUUAAUUUCAUUAUUUUAGUGUUGUUGAGAAGGUCCU
rnacentral:misc_RNA from 1 species